AUGAACGCUGGCGGCGUGCCUAGUACAUGCAAGUCGAGCGAACGGACGAGAAGCUUGCUUCUCUGAUGUUAGCGGCGGACGGGUGAGUAACACGUGGAUAACCUACCUAUAAGACUGGGAUAACUUCGGGAAACCGGAGCUAAUACCGGAUAAUAUUUUGAACCGCAUGGUUCAAAAGUGAAAGACGGUCUUGCUGUCACUUAUAGAUGGAUCCGCGCUGCAUUAGCUAGUUGGUAAGGUAACGGCUUACCAAGGCAACGAUGCAUAGCCGACCUGAGAGGGUGAUCGGCCACCCUGGAACUGAGACACGGUCCAGACUCCUACGGGAGGCAGCAGUAGGGAAUCUUCCGCAAUGGGCGAAAGCCUGACGGAGCAACGCCGCGUGAGUGAUGAAGGUCUUCGGAUCGUAAAACUCUGUAUUAGGGAAGAACAUAUGUGUAAGUAACUGUGCACAUCUUGACGGUACCUAAUCAGAAAGCCACGGCUAACUACGUG
rnacentral:rRNA from 1 species